GGAAAGCGGAGAGAGAGCUGCAGGAGAGGCGGUGGUGAAGGAAGCAGUGCAGGGCCAUGCGUGGCCCCCGACGUGGGCAUUCGGCUGGAGCUCUUGAUUCUAGGUCCCAGCCUGAGUACACGAGGAUUCCUCUGGCCUGUUAGCUACAACUUCCUCUUCUGGAGGUCUUACUUGUCAUCUAUGUCUUGGUCGUCUGCAUAUAUUUUCUAGAAAUUUCCUCAAGCCCUUCUACCGUGAAGGUGAGCCGUGAAGUCUAUUGCCCAGGGAUUGGGGACGUUUGUAUUAAAGAAGGUUUUGGAGUACAGAAGCAGGAAGAUGUGUUGUGGAGAUGCUGUUGGCAGAAACAACUGGCCUUGACUAAACAAACCAAGAGUUCCUACAGGAGCAGAGGCAACCGGGUGAAGGCUGACGCCCUUGCACAGGCUUGGGCAGCUCUUCUCCACAUGUCCACGUGGCUCACUUCCUUACCUACUUCAGGGCUCUGCUCACACGUCACCUCCUCAAGAAGGCCUUCCCCAACUACCCUGUCCUCACUCCCACCCCUUACCCCUGCAUUCCCUGUCCCUCUCACUCUGCUGUGGUUUAUCCUACCUGACAUAGAACAGGUUUAUCUCCCUGUUGUCUAGCAGGCUUUUAUCCAGUUCUGCUUUGCCGGACUGUAUUAAGUAAGUCUCAGUUCCUGGGCUUUAUCACUCAGCAUGGGUGGAACACACGAAAAUGGGAUUUUCCUGUUCCCACUACAGCACUUUUCUUGUGGAUACCACAUCUCCCCAUGUGCAAUAUUCUAUUCCCAUCUCACUCUUACCUUGUGCAGAGCUAUUUUCUCAGAGCAUGAGUCUCUGAACGGAAAAUCUACUGCUUUGUGCCCUGCCUGAGGAUAAGCUUCACCAGAGCAGUCUAUAUUGUUGUUGCUGUUGUUGUUGUUUAUUGCUGUAUUCCUAGCUUCUAGAACAGUGCCUGGCAUGGCAAUCAGUGGCAUGAGUAAAUUUAUGAGUAUAUAUAAUGGACAAGUUUGGGAGAAGAUAAUUAGUUUGGAAACGGGAGAGUUUAGUGGGAGAGACAGGGCCCUGACUACCUCAAAAAGCAGCAGUACUAUAAGAGGACAGAGUUUCUAUUUUUCUGCCUGGUCUAGGACUUGUACUGGUCUUUCAACUUGAAUUCAUGCAGCAAGACAGUGGUGGUGAAAAGAUAAAGGCAUUUCUACCUGGGUAGACAGUUUCUUUUUCUGGAGACAAGAAUUGAGAAGGCCUACCAGAUUCUGGCAGUGAGUUGACUGUACUUGUUUUUAGCAUUGUGAAUUUUUGCCUUCAUAUGAAUUUAAGUAGGGAGUUUAGCAAUGCUGUUUCAGGGUUUCCAUCCAGAUUUUCCGUUUCAAAUUGGACAUCUAUUUGCACCUUUAAUUCGCGUAACAAAUACUUCACAGAGAAUACAAAGUUGAAUUAUGGGCAGCUCAAUUCAUCCCCCCAAAGGCAGACAAGAGAUGGCAGGUCCAAGUUAUGCCUAUAUUACACAGUAGAGAUUAUUUUAAGUGUUUUGUUAUUGCUUCCAAGUUCACACAAAUGCUUCUUACUAAUUUAUAUUGGUCACAUUCACUAUUCUUAUUUGGUACUCAUUAGUGACUUUGUACUCUCUUAAAGAAAAUAAACCUCCAGAUUAACUAAAA
rnacentral:lncRNA from 1 species